GAUGAAGAACGUAGCGAAAUGCGAUAAGUAAUGUGAAUUGCAGAAUUCAGUGAAUCAUCGAAUCUUUGAACGCACAUUGCGCCCCUUGGUAUUCCGGGGGGCACGCCUGUUCGAGCGUCAUUUCAACCCUCAAGCUCUGCUUGGUAUUGGGCACCGUCCUUUGCGGGCGCGCCUCAAAGACCUCGGCGGUGGCGUCUUGCCUCAAGCGUAGUAGAAUACACCUCGCUUCGGAGCGUAAGGCGUCGCCCGCCGGACGAACCUUCUGAACUUUUCUCAAGGUUGACCUCGGAUCAGGUAGGGAUACCCGCUGAACUUAAGCAUAUCAAUAAGCGGAGGA
rnacentral:misc_RNA from 1 species